rnacentral:rRNA from 1 species
GUCGAGGGGUAACAGGGGAGCUUGCUCCCGCUGACGACCGGCGAACGGGUGAGUAACGCGUACGUAACCUACCUUCAAGAGAGGGAUAGCCCUGGGAAACUGGGAUUAAUACCUCAUGGCAUCAUAAGAUCACCUGAUCUAAUGAUUAAAGCUGAGGCGCUUGAAGAUGGGCGUGCGUUCUAUUAGAUAGUUGGUGAGGUAACGGCUCACCAAGUCAGCGAUAGAUAGGGGGCGUGAGAGCGUGGUCCCCACACGGGUACUGAGACACGGACCCGACUCCUACGGGAGGCAGCAGUAAGGAAUAUUGGACAAUGGGCGAAAGCCUGAUCCAGCCAUUCCGCGUGUAGGAUGACGGCCCUCUGGGUUGUAAACUACUUUUAUUUGGGAAGAAACCCUGGGAUUUAUCCCGGGCUGACGGUACCAAAAGAAUAAGCACUGGCUAAUUCCGUGCCAGCAGCCGCGGUAAUACGGAAGGUGCAAGCGUUAUCCGGAAUCACUGGGUUUAAAGGGUGCGUAGGCGGUUGCGUAAGUCAGAAGUGAAAGCUCACAGCUUAACUGUGGAAUUGCUUUUGAUACUGCGUGACUAGAAUUAGGUUGAGGUUGGCGGAAUGUGACAUGUAGCGGUGAAAUGCAUAGAUAUGUCAUAGAACACCAAUUGCGAAGGCAGCUGACUGGACCUAUAUUGACGCUGAGGCACGAAAGCGUGGGGAGCGAACAGGAUUAGAUACCCUGGUAGUCCACGCCCUAAACGAUGCUUACUCGAUGUGUGAACUAUUGCGCAUCCAAGGGAAACCGUUAAGUAAGCCACCUGGGGAGUACGUUCGCAA